rnacentral:misc_RNA from 1 species
AAGACUAUAGACCUGCGGAGUACCUGCGGAGGGAUCAUUACCGAGUUUACAACUCCCAAACCCAAUGUGAACGUUACCAAACUGUUGCCUCGGCGGGAUCUCUGCCCCGGGUGCGUCGCAGCCCCGGACCAAGGCGCCCGCCGGAGGACCAACCAAAACUCUUUUGUAUACCCCCUCGCGGGUUUUUUUAUAUCUGAGCCAUCUCGGCGCCUCUCGUAGGCGUUUCGAAAAUGAAUCAAA